rnacentral:lncRNA from 1 species
AGACAUCCGUUCCCUCUGGCCGUUGGUACUCCUGGUUCUCAGGGAUUCAGACUCUGACUGGCGUCCACUCCAUUGGAUCCCGGCCCUCAGGUCUUGGAACUUGCACUGCCAGCAUUCCUGGGUGUCCGGCUUGCGGACAGCAGAUCGUGGGACUUCUCAGCCUCCAGAAUUGCACGAAGUGUCUCCUUACGAAUCUCUUCCUAUGUACGUGUAUCCUAUUGGCUCUGUUUCUCUGCAGAACCCUGACUAAUGCAAACCCUCUCAUCUCACAGCAGUGCAUGUACAAACCCACUCACAUCUUCCCCUCCCCUGCCUUCCCUACCGCAAGUUCCCUCCGACCAGAGGCCAAUCCCGCUGCGGUGCCCCGGACCCACCCUCUGCACCAGCCUUCCUUCUUGUUUUCUAAAAGCUCGCGUUUUCUGUGGGCUUCCAAGGCUGCUCUUCAGUAUCUUUACGUCAGAGCCUCCCAGCUCCUUCCCCUCUCUCAAAAGCGUUUUCACAGGGACUGUAGGCUCCUUCCCUCCCCUUGAUAACCAAGUACUAUGCCCCAGGUUCUUACCUCACAGCCCAAAGUUGUCCUAAGUCGGGCCCUGACCUGAGUGUCUCCAAAUCCAGCAGGCCGUCUGCUCUCCUGUGACAUGCAGCAUCCCACGGCUUUUCCUAAAAGACCCCCUCUGUCAGCUUUGCUGUCACCCACCCUCCAGGGCUCUCUCUUACAGGUCUGCCCUUUGCUAGCAUCUUAGCCUCUCCACCUCCCGGUGGUCCUGUCUGCGAUGGACCCCCUCCAUGUGUCCCAAGGCCCUCCAAAGGAACAGGUCUGUAUCAGGUGCAAUUAGAUUGAGGUGCAAUGCAAGGGCUUGAAUUGCAGAGAGGUUCAUUUUUCUUUUUGUAGAAAAGUCUGGGACCAGCUGUCAGAGACUGAUUUGGCCACUCCAUGGUCACCAGGACCAGGCUGUGUCCAUCUUUUCUGUUCUGACCUUUUUCACAUGGGCCAUUGUCCAUGUCACCGCUGGUCACCAGCUGCAGCAGUCGCAUUCUUGCUCCGGGCAGCAGGAAGAAGGUGAGACCAGAAGGCAGAGGGGGCUGGUCCUGCCUGGUCAGCCCCCAGGGGGCUUUGCCCAGACACCCCUUCCCCACCCAUGGCUCUGCUGAUUUCUCUAUAGCUGCCACCCUCUGAAAAGGGAGCUGGCAGAGUAGUUCUUAGACAUGGCACCUGGCCACCUCUGUGGCUGAAGAAGAAGGGGGUUGAGGAUUGGGGUACACACCUGUCAGUCUCCAUGCAAUGCCCCAAAGUGGACCACUGACCCCACACCACGCUGUUCUCCUCUGAGUUUUCUCACCUCUGUCCAAAUGGCUGCAGAAGCCAAAAGCCCCAGAGCCCAGCUCCCCUUCCCUCCUUUCUCUUCCAUCCUUCCAUCCUUCCAUGAGCCUGCCCCUCAUCCUCCUCAGGGCUGGAACUGGCUGCCGGAUUCCUCCCUGGCUCCGUGGGGGCUGGCUCAGCAAUCUGAGCUGCCGAUGGCUCUGUGGUCCAGCUGGGAGGAUUCAUGCCCCAUUGGGGCUGAGAGGAAUGAGGUGAGGGCUGUGGGGUUUGCCCAGAAUCUCCUGAAAUAUCGGGCCCAGGAACUACAGCAGGACUCUCAUUCCGCCUUCUGGCCACUGUUGGGGGUGACACUGGCAGGAUCCAGGGGCUCUGGAAAGCUCCAGGGGAAAUUUGAGGCAUAACCCAGCUUCUCUGAGACGGAACUCAGGGAGGAUCCAGCUCAAUCCUACAGAGGCGACCCCAAGGAAGGACCUGCCCAGGGUCACUUGGAGAGCUGGGCGGGAGGAGGGAGAAACCUCCCCCGUUCAGAGUGACAAAGCCCCCCUUGCCUCAGGGAUGGCUGAGAUCCAAGUCCUCAAAACACGCCGCCAUCUGGAGGGUGUGAGAGCGAGGUCCGUCCUCAGCAUGGACGCUGCAGUGCACACUGUUCCGUGCCAGGUGCUGGCUGACCCUGCCCUGUGGGAGGUGAUGGACAGGCACACAGGGGGAGCCCCGCAAACAAGGGGCCCUGUUACAGCAGAGUGGGAGAGCGCCUGGUAGGACGCCAAGCACCGUGGCCGGGCUGCAGAGAGGCCUGCGGGACUUGUAGACAAGACGUCAUGGAGAAGGCGGAGCUCCCAUGGGCCUUGCAGGUUUCACCAAGCAAGAGCGGAGAAGACACAGGCUGGACAAAGGAAGGUGGACGGGACAGCCAGCCGUGCAGCAGCCUCACAGGACACAGCUACCAGACAGAGAGCACCAGCUGACACUCAUUCCUCCAGCACCAGGAAAUGCCACAGCAGAAGAGAGUCUUCAAGAUGGGCCAGACCCACUUCUGCAGCAUGGUUGCUGGGAGCCUGCACAGGCCAGGCAUUUCUCUACAGGUCCAGUUGCUCUUCAGAACUCAAAAUCCCAUCUCUGCAGGUCUCAGCCAAUCCUGCUCCCGCCUGUUUUUAUUUCCUGCCCAGAGCAAGUACAGAACCGAGGGCCAUCGAUGGGCGAGAAAUCACUGUGCCUCCAAGCUGUAUUUUUCACCGUAACAAGUCAUUACUUCUGUGCCCGGAGUCAUUUCUCAGGAUCUUAAUGCAUUCGUUUAUCAAUCAAUACUUAACUGAUGUCUAUAAAGCAUGUUCAAAAUCAGAGGUGAGAGCAGCUCACCAGGUACCGACUUCGUGUCUGGAGCCACCUUGUUAAGGAGCAACCCUUGGCACGGGUCCCGUGUCUGCACCCUCGGGAGCUCUGGGUGGGUGCACUGGGGUCCUCACAGCCCUUCCCACCACCGC